rnacentral:rRNA from 1 species
CCUACGGGUGGCAGCAGUGAGGAAUAUUGGUCAAUGGCCGGAAGGCUGAACCAGCCAAGUCGCGGGAAGGAAGAAGGAUCUAUGGUGUGUAAACUUCUGUUAUAGGGGAAUAAAGGGAGCCACGUGUGGAUAUUUGCAUGUACCCUAUGAAUAAGCAUCGGCUAACUCCGUGCCAGCAGCCGCGGUAAUACGGAGGAGGCGAGCGUUAUCCGGAUUGAUUGGGUUUAAAGGGUGCGUAGGUUUUUUUUUAAGGCAGCGGUGAAAGUUUGUGGCUCAACCAUAAAAUUGCCGUUGAAACUGGUAGACUUGCGUGUGUUUGCGGUCGGCGGACUGCGUGGUGUAGCGG